AUUGAACGCUGGCGGCAUGCCUUACACAUGCAAGUCGAACGGCAGCGGGGGGGAAGCUUGCUUCUCCUGCCGGCGAGUGGCGAACGGGUGAGUAAUACAUCGGAACGUGCCCUGUAGUGGGGGAUAACUAGUCGAAAGAUUAGCUAAUACCGCAUACGACCUGAGGGUGAAAGUGGGGGACCGCAAGGCCUCAUGCUAUAGGAGCGGCCGAUGUCUGAUUAGCUAGUUGGUGGGGUAAAGGCCUACCAAGGCGACGAUCGGUAGCUGGUCUGAGAGGACGAUCAGCCACACUGGGACUGAGACACGGCCCAGACUCCUACGGGAGGCAGCAGUGGGGAAUUUUGGACAAUGGGCGAAAGCCUGAUCCAGCAAUGCCGCGUGUGUGAAGAAGGCCUUCGGGUUGUAAAGCACUUUUGUCCGGAAAGAAAUGGCUCUGGUUAAUACCUGGGGUCGAUGACGGUACCGGAAGAAUAAGGACCGGCUAACUACGUGCCAGCAGCCGCGGUAAUACGUAGGGUCCAAGCGUUAAU
rnacentral:rRNA from 1 species